rnacentral:rRNA from 1 species
AUAAAUGGUCACCACCCUGAACACGCCCAAUCUCGUCCGAUCUUGGAAGCUAAGCAGGGUCAGGCCUGGUUAGUACUUGGAUGGGAGACCAUCUAGAAAGACCAGGUGUUGUAGGCG